rnacentral:rRNA from 1 species
CGUUUAAUGGUUGCCUAGCAAUAGGUAGCCAUGGCGUACGGCUCAGUAAAACAUGAAUAAUCUGCCCUUGAGAGGGGAAUAAGCUCGGGAAAUUGAGCAUAAUACCCCAUAGGCCUGAAAAACUGGAACGUUUUCAGGCUAAAAGCGCUUAGCGCUCAAGGAUGAGUUCAUGGCCUAUCAGGUAGUAGCAAGUGUAAAGUACUUGCUAGCCUACGACGGGUACGGGUCUUGGGAGAGAGAGCCCGGAGAUGGAUUCUGAGACACGAAUCCAGGCCCUACGGGGCGCAGCAGGCGCGAAAACUUCGCGAUGCACGAAAGUGCGACGAGGGAAUCCCAAGUGUCAGUGCAUUUUGUACUGACUGUUCUUCAGUCUAAACAGCUGGAGGAGUAAGGGCUGGGUAAGACGGGUGCCAGCCGCCGCGGUCACACCCGCAGCCCAAGUGGGGGCCAUUAUUAUUGGGUCUAAAACAUCCGUAGCUGGUUUAGUAAAUGCUCAGGGAAAUUGGGUGGCUUAACCAUCCGAAGUCUGGGUAGACUACUAAACUUGAGACCGGGAGAGGUCAGGAGUACUCUUGGGGUAGUGGUAAAAUGCUGCAAUCCUUAGAGGACUACCGGUGGCGAAGGCGCCUGACCAUAACGGCUCUGACAGUGAGGGAUGAAGCCCUGGGGCGCGAACCGGAUUAGAUACCCGGGUAGUCCAGGGUGUAAACGCUGCUAGCUUGGUGUUGGAUAACCCACGUGGUUAUUCAGUGCCGGAGAGAAGUUGUUAAGCUAGCUACCUGGGAAGUACGGUCGCAAGGCUGAAACUAAAGGAAGGGGCGGGGGAAGCACUGCAACG